CAGGGGAGCUCUUCGUUCUUUCGCGUCUUGGCUCUGGCGUUUGCUCUACUGUUUGCAUCGUGCCUCAUCCUCUUCAUCCCAUGAGGUCCGAUCCCGGGAACUCGGCUUUGCUACUGUGUGUGGUUAGCGCGAUCAGAGGGUACGGGAUGGAUCUAGGAGGAGGUACUCGAUGCUGGGCCUCCAAGAGAGCCCCACGUAGACGUCUCCAGCCUUCGGGCGCCUGACCUGGGAAAACCGACUUUCCAGUGGCCCAGGAGCAGGAAGCGCUUGGUGAUGUCCACAUGGCUGAAUAGACAGGAUCUGGAGACGGGACAGGUCCAAAGCCCUGUGGGCUACAGGACUACAGUAAGUAGAUUGAUGCAGCCUGGUCUGCUGUUUCAGUCUGUCCCAUAACAGGAGUUUCCCAUCUGUGGAGUUCGAAUACAGACCUUGAAAAAGAAAUAAUGGUUCUGGCUGAAUCAGUCUUACAAGGCUUUUGUGUAACCUGAAGACCGUUAAGAGGCCUGUGCCCAUUUUGAAGGGCCAAGAAUUAUUGUUGAACUUGAGUAAAAUUUCUAACUUGCAUUCUUCCAAGUCUAGAGUAAAAAUAAAAAUCUUUAAAAA